AACGAACGCUGGCGGCAUGCCUAACACAUGCAAGUCGAACGAGACCUUCGGGUCUAGUGGCGCACGGCUGCGUAACGCGUGGGAACCUGCCCUUAGGUUCGGAAUAACUCCCCGAAAGGGGUGCUAUUACCGGAUAAUGUCUUCUGACCAAAGAUUUAUCGCCUUUGGAUGGGCCCGCGUUGGAUUAGCUAGUUGGUAGGGUAAAAGCCUACCACGGCGACGAUCCAUAGCUGGUCUGAGAGGAUGAUCAGCCACACUGAGACUGAGACACGGCCGAGACUCCUACGGGAGGCAGCAGUGGGGGAUAUUGGACAAUGGGCGAAGGCCUGAUCCAGCAAUGACGGGUGAGUGAUGAAGGCCUUAGGGUUGUAAAGCUCUUUUACCCGGGAUGGUAAUGACAGUACCGGGAGAGUAAGCCCCGGCUAACUCCGUG
rnacentral:rRNA from 1 species